rnacentral:rRNA from 1 species
UACGUAGGGUGCGAGCGUUAAUCGGAAUUACUGGGCGUAAAGCGUGCGCAGGCGGUCCGCAAAGUCUGAUGUGAAAGCCCCGGGCUCAACCUGGGAACUGCAUUGGAAACUAACGGGCUCGAGUGUGGCAGAGGGGGGUGGAAUUCCACGUGUAGCAGUGAAAUGCGUAGAGAUGUGGAGGAACACCGAUGGCGAAGGCAGCCCCCUGGGCUAAUACUGACGCUCAUGCACGAAAGCGUGGGGAGCAAACAGG